rnacentral:rRNA from 1 species
CACGUAGGAGGCGAGCGUUGUCCGGAAUCAUUGGGCGUAAAGAGCGCGCAGGCGGCUUGGCAAGUCGGGUGUGAAAUCCCGGGGCUCAACCCCGUGACUGCAUCCGAUACUGUCAGGCUAGAGGUAGGUAGGGGAGAUCGGAAUUCCUGGUGUAGCGGUGGAAUGCGCAGAUAUCAGGAGGAACACCAAUGGCGAAGGCAGAUCUCUGGGCCGUAACUGACGCUGAGGCGCGAAAGCGUGGGGAGCAAACAGG